UUCUCCAUCUGCUCUCUCCUCUCUUCAGCUCUCUCCUCUCUUCAGACCCAAACAGCAUACUCCUCCCAACAUCAACAUCAACAUCACACACCAUGUGGAUUCGCUGAAGCUCAACUGAUUCACCCUCACCCAUCUCCAUUGCCGACGCUUCACACGGCGUCUCAUCUCAGACCCAUCUCCAAAUCCCGAUUCACCCUCACCCUCAACCGAUUUAAUCAGACCCAUCUCCAAAUCCCUUUACCGAUUCACCCUCACCCUCACUCAUCUCAUAAACCCAACACUCUAGAUAGUACCCAUUUAACUCUUCACUCUAUCACUCUCUCUUCAAACCGACACUCAAGGUUCAACUAAGCUCCGUCGGUGUGGGGGAUUCAGCUCCAUCGGUGUUGGUGCUAACUGUAAGAGAUUCAACUUCAUCAACGACGGGUUUUCGCUCUCUGGCACGGGAUUAGCAUCAUAAAAAAAUUUGCUCAGGUUCAUCUUCCAUACCAGUUCUUUGUGUCUUGCCCCUUGGCCAGCUUCCAGAUCUUAUUAGAGUUUAUUGUUUAAUGGAAGUGUAAUUUUCCAUCUUUCCAAAGUGUAUUAUACUCUCCUGAAAGUUACAGUGGUGGUUGUUCCUAUUUUCUGGUAUCACCUACCAUUAAGGACCAACAACAAAUUUGGCAUCUUGGUAUAGUGAUUGUGGCUGUCCUCAUAAAAUUUGGCUGUCAUAAAGUUUAUUGUGGCUGUCAUAAAUUUGGACCGAAAACAAAUUUAUGCAUUUGAUUGUGGCUGUCAUAAAGUUACGUUACAGUGGUGGUUGUUCCUUGUUUUCUGGUAUAGUGAUUGUGGCUGUCAUAAAAUUUGGCAUCUUGGUAAA